GGCUAUGACUCUACCACACUGAAUGCACCUGAUCUCGUCUGAUCUCAGAAGCUGAGCAGGGUCAGGCCUGGUUGGUACUUGGACGGGAGACCGUAGGGAAUUCUGGGUGCUGUAGGCA
rnacentral:rRNA from 1 species